rnacentral:tRNA from 1 species
CAGGGAGACAACAAAAUGUUAAAUAUUAAUUUUGUCACCUUAGGUCGAUCGGUAUCUCACAUCCUUAAUUUAUUAAGGAUUUUAUUUCCUAAGUUUUUCUAGGUCACACCCAUUAUUUUCCUGGGCCAUUAGCUCAGGUGGUUAGAGCGCACCCCUGAUAAGGGUGAGGUCCCUGGUUCAAGUCCAGGAUGGCCCAUAUCUCUAUGUUGGGGGUAUAGCUCAGUUGGUAGAGCGCCUGCUUUGCAAGCAGGAUGUCAGCGGUUCGAGUCCGCUUACCUCCACUGAUUACCACCUCUUCCAUAAUUUAUAGAAGGGAAAUGUUUUGAGGUGUGAUCAAAUUCUGAACGAAUCUAGCUUCCUAAUCAAACUUAUUAAGAUGCUGGACUCAUUGAAUUAAAUUCAUUGUUUUCAGAGAACCUUGACAACUGCAUAGAUUAUUUUUAAAGACAAUAAGCAUCUUGAAUGAUGCAGAUUUAUUAUUUGUGCUAAUGCAUUAAUAACAAUUCUAUUGAGCUGAUGCUUCAAUUAUUUGAAGUUAUU